rnacentral:lncRNA from 1 species
GAUAGGAGAUUUUCGGAGGGUAAACCAGGAAAGGGGAUAGCAUUUGAAAUGAAAAUAAAGAAAAUAUCUAAAAAAAUAAAAGAUUAUUCCAUUUACAAUUUUUGAAAGCUGAAAACAUGAAGCUAUUUUACACAUUUAGGUCAUCUGACACCACCUAGAAGUUAAUAAAAGUCCCAUUGUUUAUUUUUAAAAAUCUGUGAAUGAUGCUUUUGACAUGAAAUGUAUUGAUCACUGAACUUUACAUAAGAUACUUACCCUUUAAUUAUGGUCUUUGGUAUCAGUAUUGUAAAACACCAUGUUGCGAAUGUAAGAAAAUAUUUUGAUGAAAUGUAAAAAUCAAGAAAGGAGACUGAAGAAUAUUUCUUUAGCAUGAACAUAUAUGGCAAAGUUAAGCAUAAAUCUAGUGUAUCUGCGACAAUGGAUUUUGCUUGCAUUACUAGUUAGCUCUUCAUUAUAAGUACCCAGAGUUGGUGCAUCACUACGUGGUGGUGAUAUGAUACAUAUCAUAAUGAGAAAUACAAGUGAUUUUGACUAAGGGUUUGGAAAUUUGGACAUUGAUUUUUUUUUUUUUGUCUGCUCUGGGUCAGGGAUACUGUCUAUCUUUGGGUUUGAGAUGCUUUGUCCUGGCAAGGUAAUCUUUCACCUUUUAGGGUAGGAUAAGUCAUCACAGAGCCUAGGCCUCAGAAUUAGACAGACAAAUUUUACUAUUUUCUCAUGCCAGUUUCUCAUGCUGUGUGACCGUGGGCAUGUCUGUUAACUGUUCUGGACUUCAUUAUCUAAUCUGUAAAAUGGGGUGAAAAUGCCUGUAUUAUUAGGUGGCAAAUGGAGAUUACACAAGAUGCCUAGUACAGUGCCUGGCACAUAGUAAGUGCUCAAUAAAUCAUUGCUAUUAUUAUUAUUAUUAUUAUUAUUAUUAUUAUUAUUAUUAUCAUUAUCAUUAUUACUAUAUAAAUAAGUUUUGUGUAUUAAAACAUGAUAACGUUUCCUUCAAAAUAUGAUAUAUAUGAUGAUUUAAAAAAAGAAUUAAAAGCAUAUUUUAAAAUUUUUCCUUGUUUGCUUAUAAGGGAUACCAGAAACACAUCCAUUUUUCCUUUAGUGAUUCUUUCACACUGUACUUAUUAAUGUUGUAUGAUGUUUAUUUGCCUGGUGAUUAGAGGUAGUGACUUUUUGAUAUGACUGUGUUCCUGUUCUCUUAAAAAUAAUCAAUUUACUUAAUUCCAGCUUAAAGAUAAUUAAGACACUCUGAUAUAGAGAGGGAUGAUAAAUAUGCAUAGAAUGUACUCUUAAUCACUAACUUUUUAGCAAAGUUCCCUUUCAAAGAACUGUGCUAGUCAAAGUGUUCUUACUAGGCAAGGAAGAUUCUCCACAACUGACUUCUGAACUCUUCAGUAUUUUAUGCAUUUAUCAUGGCAUUCAGGAAUUUUUAAAAAGUGAUAGUCAGAAAGUUGGGUACAAAUAAGACUCUGGUACUGUGUUUUUCAAGUUACACAUCUUUCAUUGCCUCAGUUCAAUUUUACAAUACUGCCUCCCAGUAUUACUGCAGUGGCUUUACAUCAUAACCCGGUUUUAACUCAGAAUGGUUAGUAUACCAGUCUUUACAUGUGUAGCUGUGUAUGCUUAGUAGCCUUUGCUACUUAGAAUCUCUAUACACAACUAUCAUCAUCUUAUCAUCGUCUUAGAGUCAAAUAUUACCUUGUCAGAAGAGUCACAAUAACUGCCCAUUAUCUCCUUGUCAGCCUUUUGACUUUUAACUCACUGACCAUUCCCAGUAUGCCGUACUAGUUUUGACUGCUUGAGUUCUCUUGUAUUUAAUACAUGUGCCAAUUCCUGUUCUCUUAAGCCUUAUUUAAGUUAUAAGGAACUUUAGACUAUAACUGAGUUCUCGUCUCUUAUGGCUAGUACUUAAGUUCUAGUGAGUGAGGUCAAAACUUUACAUAUAUAUUUUUAUCCAUGAGAUGGCCCUAUCAAAUUAUAAUCUUCAUUUUACCUGUCUCCAUGUGUUUUCAGAAUACAAGGGUAGAUUUCGUCUCUGUGGUUUUUUUUUUUUAUAUGUGUAAUCCUCUAGCCUCUGACUAUCAUCCUCCUUUAUUGGGACUUUAGGUGCAUCCCAUUUUAUUUUGUCUCUGAAUAUAAGGGAACCUGAACAAUUAGCAGCUUCAACUCUUGUGUAUCAGUGUGUUAUACAAUAUCUUUUAUUUGCUACUAGGCUUCAAAAUGUUGUAUCUGUACUCCUCAUGCAACAGCUAAACUUGGAUGUGCUUAAAUGUAUUAUACUUUAGAUUUAGUAUCUAGAGCUGGACUUUGCAAAUUAUACCCUUUGGGAUAAAUCCACCCACCCAUACUUUAUUUAAAAUAAAUUAAGUCUCAAUGGAAU